rnacentral:rRNA from 1 species
UUGAGCUUGCUCUCUUUGUCGGCAAGCGGCAAACGGGUGAGUAAUAUCUGGGGAUCUGCCCAAAAGAGGGGGAUAACUACUAGAAAUGGUAGCUAAUACCGCAUAAAGUUGAAAAACCAAAGUGGGGGACCUUUUUAAGGCCUCAUGCUUUUGGAUGAACCCAGACGAGAUUAGCUUGUUGGUAAGGUAAAAGCUUACCAAGGCAACGAUCUCUAGCUGGUCUGAGAGGAUAACCAGCCACACUGGAACUGAGACACGGUCCAGACUCCUACGGGAGGCAGCAGUGGGGAAUAUUGCACAAUGGGCGAAAGCCUGAUGCAGCUAUGCCGCGUGUAUGAAGAAGGCCUUAGGGUUGUAAAGUACUUUCAGCGGGGAGGAAAGAAAUAAAACUAAUAAUUUUAUUUUGUGACGUUACCCGCAGAAG